GGGAAAACACUUCACUGUUUAUCCGUAGAAAUGCCGAAAGAUCUAAGGGAGCCGCCAGUAUGCAGAAUCAAAGAGAAUUAAUCAAACGUCUAUUAUGGUGAGGACAUUGGACUGGUGAUGGCGAAAAACAAAGGGGACAGGACAAUGGAGUUGCACAACAACCAGUCAGUGAAGAUUUCUGAGGCUCAGAGCUGCUUGAAGUACCAGGGAUCCUUUGUCAAGUGAACUCUAUCAAAAUUUGGAGCUGCCUGGCCCAUUCAGAAGAGUACCCAUCUUCGAAGAUGAAUAAAGACGCCUUCACCCACCCUCUGCUGCCUGCUUGGAUUCUUUGAGCUGCGUUUCUAACACUGGAGCUGCCUGAAACCACAG